AUCUAGCAAUGAUAUCCGACGAUCGGAUAGGUCGAAUGUGUAGAACAACAUCCUUAGAACCCAUGUGGAUAUAGUUUUCAUAUAAUUCAUCCCCUUGACCAAAAUGAUCAUAGGAUACCCUAGAGUUCAACUGUCAACUCUGAUCAGGUUAUCCACAUUGUAUUUCAAAAUAUCAAAUCCAUCUGAUGGAUUAUCCUGGCCA
rnacentral:lncRNA from 1 species